rnacentral:rRNA from 1 species
AGUGAACGCUGGCGGUAGGCCUAACACAUGCAAGUCGAACGGCAGCACAGUAAGAGCUUGCUCUUACGGGUGGCGAGUGGCGGACGGGUGAGGAAUACAUCGGAAUCUACUUUUUCGUGGGGGAUAACGUAGGGAAACUUACGCUAAUACCGCAUACGACCUACGGGUGAAAGCAGGGGAUCUUCGGACCUUGCGCGGUUGAAUGAGCCGAUGUCGGAUUAGCUAGUUGGCGGGGUAAAGGCCCACCAAGGCGACGAUCCGUAGCUGGUCUGAGAGGAUGAUCAACCACACUGGAACUGAGACACGGUCCAGACUCCUACGGGAGGCAGCAGUGGGGAAUAUUGGACAAUGGGCGCAAGCCUGAUCCAGCCAUACCGCGUGGGUGAAGAAGGCCUUCGGGUUGUAAAGCCCUUUUGUUGGGAAAGAAAAGCAGCAGGUUAAUACCCCGCUGUUCUGACGGUACCCAAAGAAUAAGCACCGGCUAACUUCGUG